rnacentral:tRNA from 2 species
ACUAUUUUGUCAGAUAUAUGUAUUGAUUUUAGAGUUCAAUUAUGCAAUUUUUAUUGCAAAUAGUA